rnacentral:tRNA from 1 species
ACAUGGCUGGCUCAGUUGAUAGAGCAUGAGACUCUGGAUCUUGGGGUCGUGAGUUAGAGCCCCAUGUUGGGUG